CAGGCUGAGUCUACAAACAAUAAUUUUUUUUAUCUUGUACAGGUCAUGGUAUAUAUGUCAAGACACUUGGAACUAGGUACAAUAGUGUCAUUACCUGCUCUAAGACAUUGUCUUGUUCAUGUUCAACAGUCUCAUCGCCAUCUUGUAUGGUUGGUACAGCUUCUGUAUUCUCAUUGUUUUGUGGUGUACUCUAAACAACAAAUAUCAAGGUAAAAGAUUAGUCAUCAUAAUCAUUAGUUUAGCAAGAAGAUGAAUGCUUAAAAAAUCAGAAAUAUUACUACAUUCAGAGUUGCUUCUUUGUGUUGUGCCAUCAUUUUAGGAGAGUCUACAAGAAAUCUGCUAAUCUGUGACGGUUUUUUUAUGACGGAUUCAAAGAACGUCACAGAUGGUAUGCCACCACCAGUGAUACCCAUUCUAGUAUAGUGGAUAUCCAGCCCAAAACCCAAUACCUACUCGCGUAUAUAAGCUGCCCAUAACCUAAUCCAUCAAAGAUUGCCUCCCCAGUCUCCACCAUCCGCCUCUCACCCAAGCGCCGCCACCCCUACCGGUGUCAUCCACCUGACUGAGCGCCACCGCCCCCAGCAAGAUGAAACCGUACACGCUCCCAUCACACUCCAAAUCCUCCCCGUCUCUCUCUUGGCUCUCGAGCUCUCUCUUCCUCUACUGGAUCUGUGAGGAGGAGCGGGUGAGUGGCAGCAGCGGUGCAAGGGGUGCGCUCUCAUAGCGGAUCUCAUGCAUCUUCUCACUUACCCCUGUCGCAGUGGAGGAGGAGCGGCGGCGCACGGCAAAGGGCAGCAGCGCUGUCUCCUUCUUCUCUCCGUGCACCCCCUUGUCAAACCCUCUCUCGACCUGUACUUCUUCUAAUCCUCUGGUGUGUGAUGUGACAACGGAUAAGGUGCUGGAUGCGGCACUACUGCGGGCGGCAGCAUUGGAUGCGGCACUGGAUGCGGCACCAUCGCACAAUAAUGAAGCUUCUUCAGUUCCAAGCGUGAUGACCUUCACGUUACUCUGUUUAACCACGAGCGCAGGAUCCAGCCCCAUGCUUUCAGGAUUGUGGUUUCAGGAAAUCAGUGGAUAAACAAUAUUGGAGAAAUGCUUGACGAAGGAGCAUCAUUCCACUGAGGCGGCUGCAUUGCUUAUUUGCGGCAUAGAGAGACAAUUGUUGGCUGUAUAAAUUAGUCUUGUUUUUAAAUUGCUUCAUCA